rnacentral:lncRNA from 1 species
AAACAGCUUGGAACAGCCACUAAUCCUAAGAGGUGGUGGUGGUAAUGGCUCAUGGAGCCAUCUCCUCUGCAGUAGUAUUGGCAUCAGAAGCCUGAGAGACCUCUGUUUUACUUUCUGUUUUGGUGGUGCUAAGGACUGAAGCCAGGGUCUCGGACAUGCUAAGUAAGUGUUUACCAACCCAUUAUGGGUCUUUAAUAUUGCAAAUAAUAUGGUUCUGAUUUUAUCACAAGCCCACCAGAUUAUAAAGAGAAUUAACAUGAUCAAUAUAUUAAUUUACUGAAAUAAAAAUUUGUUUAAUAGUG